rnacentral:rRNA from 1 species
AGAGUUUGAUCCUGGCUCAGGAUGAACGCUGGCGGCGUGCCUAAUACAUGCAAGUCGAGCGAACGGACGAGAAGCUUGCUUCUCUGAUGUUAGCGGCGGACGGGUGAGUAACACGUGGAUAACCUACCUAUAAGACUGGGAUAACUUCGGGAAACCGGAGCUAAUACCGGAUAAUAUUUUGAACCGCAUGGUUCAAAAGUGAAAGACGGUCUUGCUGUCACUUAUAGAUGGAUCCGCGCUGCAUUAGCUAGUUGGUAAGGUAACGGCUUACCAAGGCAACGAUGCAUAGCCGACCUGAGAGGGUGAUCGGCCACACUGGAACUGAGACACGGUCCAGACUCCUACGGGAGGCAGCAGUAGGGAAUCUUCCGCAAUGGGCGAAAGCCUGACGGAGCAACGCCGCGUGAGUGAUGAAGGUCUUCGGAUCGUAAAACUCUGUUAUUAGGGAAGAACAUAUGUGUAAGUAACUGUGCACAUCUUGACGGUACCUAAUCAGAAAGCCACGGCUAACUACGUGCCAGCAGCCGCGGUAAUACGUAGGUGGCAAGCGUUAUCCGGAAUUAUUGGGCGUAAAGCGCGCGUAGGCGGUUUUUUUAAGUCUGAUGUGAAAGCCCACGGCUCAACCGUGGAGGGUCAUUGGAAACUGGAAAACUUGAGUGCAGAAGAGGAAAGUGGAAUUCCAUGUGUAGCGGUGAAAUGCGCAGAGAUAUGGAGGAACACCAGUGGCGAAGGCGACUUUCUGGUCUGUAACUGACGCUGAUGUGCGAAAGCGUGGGGAUCAAACAGGAUUAGAUACCCUGGUAGUCCACGCCGUAAACGAUGAGUGCUAAGUGUUAGGGGGUUUCCGCCCCUUAGUGCUGCAGCUAACGCAUUAAGCACUCCGCCGUGGGGAGUACGACCGCAAGGUUGAAACUCAAAGGAAUUGACGGGGACCCGCACAAGCGGUGGAGCAUGUGGUUUAAUUCGAAGCAACGCGAAGAACCUUACCAAAUCUUGACAUCCUUU